UUCACUGUUAUACUUGGAGGCCAUGUCACCUGAGAGUCAAUGGGCAACGAUCAAAUUUCACCUUGAGCAGAUUCUUUUGUUUGCUUUUUAGUCACAAAUAGCUUGGCCCUAAGUGGUGGCUCCCAUUCUUGUAAGAUGCGUUUAUUCAUCGUGUAAUCACCAGUUCCCUGUAGUGGGGGCGUGGAUGGAGUGUCAGAGGCUCCUGCUGGUCUUUAGGGUGUCUGGCCUCCAGGAAUCCUAGAGUAAAUUGGGAACUACAGCACUCGAUGUUAGAGUUGUCGUGAAGAUUAAAGAAGGUGACGACUGGACAACUCCCAGCCCAAUACCUGAAACUGUACCAGCACCCAGUGAGCACUGCUAUUCCUGUGACUGCUGCACAUUUGCCUUAUCUCAGCAGUAUGCCUGUGUCACUUUUUUGUAUCUUUUCUCUUGGUACUAGGCACUCUUUUCUCAUGGGUACAUUCAGAGAAGAGGAAUGUUUGUUCACUGGUGAAGAGAACAUCCCGUGUACUAUCGUGUAGAAGUUGUAGUAGACGCUGUGGUCUUUCCAACAACAAACAAAGAGGGAGGUAUCCAGAGAGGCUAAUGGAAGAGACAGGCUUUGGGAUUUAUUUGCAGAGAGGUUAGGCAUUCAGACAUGUGGAAAGAGAGAUGAAAGGAAAGUGCACCUGAGGCUGAACAAGUGACUAAAGGAGAAGCCACUGUGCCUGUCGAAAGAACAAUGAAUAAUCCAGAAUUGAUAGAUAAGUAAGACUGGGGAAGGAAGAGAAAGGAAGACACAGCCUCUGAGAGCCGGAUGAAGACACAAAUGGGAUGGAGGCUGCGGCUGUUAAACCAUCAGGACUCAGCGGCUGUUAAACCAUCAGGACUCAGCAAUUAUUUCAUGUGGAGACAAGUGAUGGCAAAGCCAAAAGGCCACGGGUGUUGAGCUGUUGACGAGAAACUGAAAGUGCCAUUGUGUUUAUACAGGAAGCUGCCAUUAGUAGGGAUUUGAAAAAGCAAGAGGAGAGGAUGAGUUUAGUGGGGAGUUCUUACACUUCAGGUGCUAGUGGAUACCACCAAGUCAAUAUUGAGUAGCAGGAAACCAGGGCCUGAUGUUCCGUCAGGCCAUCAGGGCGGAGACAUUGUGGAGAGGAAGUUUUGAGGCUGUGAGAUUAGGAGAGAAGCAUGGAGUGUAGAGCAGGAACUAGGCCUCUCUUUACCCAAAAUCCAAAACCCCACUUAUGCCAGACACACUCAAUACUUUCUGCUGGGAUCCUCAAUUCUCAUAAAGUUUUCAUAAUAAGGCCGGGCGGGGUGGCUUAUGCCUGUAUUCCCAGCACUUUGGGAGGCCGAGGCGGGCGGAUCACCUGAGGUCAGGAG
rnacentral:lncRNA from 1 species